rnacentral:lncRNA from 1 species
GGACCUGAAUCUUCUGCACUGCAGGUGGGUUCUUUAUCGUCUGAGCCACCAGGGAAGCCGUAGGAAAAUAGAAAAUAGUGAUGGAAUAAGUAAAGAAAAACUAUAUUCUCUAAUUCAAUAAAAAAGUACAAAGGUGAGAAAGAAAAAUUAACUGAAUGAGUUGACAACCAAG